CGCAAGGGGAGCGGCAGACGGGUGAGUAACGCGUGGGAACGUACCCUUUACUACGGAACAACUCCGGGAAACUGGAGCUAAUACCGUAUGUGCCCUUUGGGGGAAAGAUUUAUCGGUAAAGGAUCGGCCCGCGUUGGAUUAGCUAGUUGGUGGGGUAAAGGCCUACCAAGGCGACGAUCCAUAGCUGGUCUGAGAGGAUGAUCAGCCACAUUGGGACUGAGACACGGCCCAAACUCCUACGGGAGGCAGCAGUGGGGAAUAUUGGACAAUGGGCGCAAGCCUGAUCCAGCCAUGCCGCGUGAAUGAUGAAGGCCUUANGGUUGUAAAGUUCUUUCACCGGAGAAGAUAAUGACGGUAUCCGGAGAAGAAGCCCCGGCUAACUUCGUGCCAGCAGCCGCGGUAAUACGAAGGGGGCUAGCGUUGUUCGGAAUUACUGGGCGUAAAGCGCACGUANGCGGACAUUUAAGUCAGGGGUGAAAUCCCAGAGCUCAACUCUGGAACUGCCUUUGAUACUGGGUGUC
rnacentral:rRNA from 1 species